GAUGAAGAACGUAGCGAAAUGCGAUAAGUAGUGUGAAUUGCAGAAUUCAGUGAAUCAUCGAAUCUUUGAACGCACAUUGCGCCCCUUGGUAUUCCAUGGGGCAUGCCUGUUCGAGCGUCAUCUACAACCCUCAAGCCCUGCUUGGUGUUGGGCGUCUGUCCCGCCCCGCGCGCGGACUCGCCCCAAAUCCAUUGGCGGCGGCCCUUGCCUCCCUCUCGCGCAGCACAUUGCGCUUCUCGAGGCGUCGCGGGCCGCGCUCCACGAAGCACGCAAACCAGUCUUUGACCUCGGAUCAGGUAGGGAUACCCGCUGAACUUAAGCAUAUCAAUAAGCGGAGGA
rnacentral:misc_RNA from 1 species